rnacentral:rRNA from 1 species
UACAGAGGUCCUGAGCGUUGUUCGGAUUCACUGGGCGUAAAGGGUGCGUAGGUGGCGAGGUAAGUCGGAUGUGAAAGCUCGGAGCUCAACUCCGAAAUGGCAUUGGAAACUACCUUGCUCGAGGGUUGGAGGGGGGACUGGAAUACUUGGUGUAGCAGUGAAAUGCGUAGAUAUCGAGAGGAACACCAGUGGCGAAGGCGAGUCCCUGGACAAUACCUGACACUGAGGCACGAAAGCUAGGGGAGCAAACAGG